GUGGGGAAUCUUGCGCAAUGGGGGAAACCCUGACGCAGCAACGCCGCGUGGGUGAUGAAGGCCUUCGGGUCGUAAAGCCCUGUCAGGUGGGAAGAAACAUGUUGAUGCCAAUACCAUCAGCACUUGACGGUACCACCGGAGGAAGCACCGGCUAACUCCGUGCCAGCAGCCGCGGUAAUACGGAGGGUGCAAGCGUUGUUCGGAAUUAUUGGGCGUAAAGCGCGUGUAGGCGGUCAGGUAAGUCAGAUGUGAAAUCCUUCCGCUUAACGGGAGAAGUGCAUUUGAAACUGCUUGACUGGAGUACGGGAGAGGAGAGUGGAAUUCCCGGUGUAGAGGUGAAAUUCGUAGAUAUCGGGAGGAACACCAGUGGCGAAGGCGGCUCUCUGGCCUGAUACUGACGCUGAGACGCGAAAGCGUGGGGAGCAAACAGGAUUAGAAACCCGAGUAGUCC
rnacentral:rRNA from 1 species